AUAGGAGACAGUUAAAAAAAAAAAGAAAGAAAAAGAAAAGAGAAGACAAAGAUUGGGAUACGAAGUAAAAAGCAAAAACCCGAAGCUUCGAAUAAAGCUUUGAAGAGUGUAGGGAUUCAGCAACGGAAACCUUUGCCUUGCAUUUCGGAGCUGGCCUGGGAAAGCAGCGAAGAGCUCUCCACAGUCUGUGCCUGGAGGCCCAGGGGGGCUGUCAGAUUUAGAGCUCUGGGACUCCACUGCAGGAUAAACAGCUUGGGAUUCUUCUUUAAUGACAACAGCGUAUCAGCUCUUUUUGAGGUUACAGCAUACAUAAACAGGAUCUGCCUCAUAUUUUCCAGUUGUGGAGGAGGGAGGGGGAAAAAAAGGCCCCCACAAACCUUUUCCCGCAGUUAACAGUAGAAGACGACUUGCUUUUACUUGCAUGCAAGACUGAAAAAAGGGAAGGAGAACCAUGGCGUGCAAAAUGGCCACACUGAAAGGAAACAGGAAAACCAUUACUUUCUCUGUGAAAACUUCAGUGGGCAAUCAAAGGGAAGAAAGGUAAUGAAUGUUGAACUCUGGUGUUUUAAAAGGAAAGAGACAUAAGCUUAAAAAGAGUGAGUGGAAAGAUUCUUAAUAAAGCCCUCCUGCAGACAAGACCCACAGAGGAAUCAAACAGGAGAUCUUGCCCGGUACGCACCCUACUCUGCAUUUGAAUGUAGAGUGAACACCGGCUGUCAUGUUAGAAGACAGACCAGUGGCUUAUUUCCUAGGCUUCCUCAAGGUUUAUUACUGGCAUGAAAAACUUCCUGGCCUUCUUUGAGGAGCUCUAACAAAAUGUGCUAAAUGAAGAUAUUUACUCAUAGAAUUCCCUCUCUUGCAUCCUGGACCCAAGUUCCUUAUUUCUUUUUGGAUUCAAGAAAACCUCAAGAUUUCUGUUUUCUUGACCUAAGCCUACAAUUCCCUGCAAUCUCCUCUACCCCAAUCUUUUCGAGGAAGCUGCAGACAACAUUUACUCCAUUUGUAUUUAAAUGUAUACUUUCAUGACAGGACAGCUUGCUUCAUUUUGCUGUCC
rnacentral:lncRNA from 1 species